AACGAACGCUGGCGGCAUGCCUAACACAUGCAAGUCGAACGAGACCUUCGGGUCUAGUGGCGCACGGGUGCGUAACGCGUGGAAACCUGCCCUUAGGUUCGGAAUAACUCCCCGAAAGGGGUGCUAAUACCGGAUAAUGUCUUCGGACCAAAGAUUUAUCGCCUUUGGAUGGGCCCGCGUUGGAUUAGCUAGUUGGUAGGGUAAAAGCCUACCAAGGCGACGAUCCAUAGCUGGUCUGAGAGGAUGAUCAGCCACACUGGGACUGAGACACGGCCCAGACUCCUACGGGAGGCAGCAGUGGGGAAUAUUGGACAAUGGGCGAAAGCCUGAUCCAGCAACGCCGCGUGAGUGAUGAAGGCCUUAGGGUUGUAAAGCUCUUUUACCCGGGAUGAUAAUGACAGUACCGGGAGAAUAAGCUCCGGCUAACUCCGUG
rnacentral:rRNA from 1 species